rnacentral:rRNA from 1 species
AAUGAACGCUGGCGGUAUGCCUAACACAUGCAAGUCGAACGGCAGGACAUUAAUAGCGUGCUCUUCCGGGUGGCGACGCGCAGGCGGGUGCGGUAUGCAUCGGAACCUACUUUGUCGUGGGGUAUAACGUAGCGGAAGUUACACUAAUACCGCAUACAACCUACGGGUGAAGGCGGUUGAUCUUCAUACCUUGGUCGGUUGGGUGAUCGGAUAUCAGAUUAGUGAGUUGGCGGGGGAAAGACCAAACAAUGAGCCGAUCAGUAGCUGUGCUGAGGGAAUGACAGGCGCCAGUGGAAGUGAAACACGGUCCAGACUGCUACGGGAGGCAGCAGUGGGGAAUAUUGGACAACAGGCGCAAGCAUGAUCCAGCAAUACCGCGUGGGUGAAGAAGGCCUUCGGGUUGUGAAGUACUUUUGUUGGGAAAGAAAAGCAGCAGGUUAAUACGAAGCAGCACUGACGGUACCCAAAGAAUAAGCACCGGCUAACUUCGUG